AACGCUGAAGGAGGAGCUUGCUUCUCCGGAUGAGUUGCGAACGGGUGAGUAACGCGUAGGUAACCUGCCUGGUAGCGGGGGGUAACUAUUGGAAACGAUAGCUAAUACCGCAUAAUAGUAGAUGUUGCAUGACAUUUGCUUAAAAGGUGCAAUUGCAUCACUACCAGAUGGACCUGCGUUGUAUUAGCUAGUUGGUGGGGUAAGGGCUCACCAAGGCGACGAUACAUAGCCGACCUGAGAGGGUGAUCGGCCACACUGGGACUGAGACACGGCCCAGACUCCUACGGGAGGCAGCAGUAGGGAAUCUUCGGCAAUGGACGGAAGUCUGACCGAGCAACGCCGCGUGAGUGAAGAAGGUUUUCGGAUCGUAAAGCUCUGUUGUAAGAGAAGAACGAGUGUGAGAGUGGAAAGUUCACACUGUGACGGUAUCUUACCAGAAAGGGACGGCUAACUACGUGCCAGCAGCCGCGGUAAUACGUAGGUCCCGAGCGUUGUCCGGAUUUAUUGGGCGUAAAGCGAGCGCAGGCGGUUAGAUAAGUCUGAAGUUAAAGGCUGUGGCUUAACCAUAGUACGCUUUGGAAACUGUUUAACUUGAGUGCAAGAGGGGAGAGUGGAAUUCCAUGUGUAGCGGUGAAAUGCGUAGAUAUAUGGAGGAACACCAGUGGCGAAAGCGGCUCUCUGGCUUGUAACUGACGCUGAGGCUCGAAAGCGUGGGGAGCAAGCAGGAUUAGAUACCCUGGUAGUCCACGCCGUAAACGAUGAGUGCUAGGUGUUAGACCCUU
rnacentral:rRNA from 1 species